GUGCACUUUGACAGCACAUAUACUAAAAUUGGGAUGAUACAAAGAAGAUUAAUAUGCCCCCUGAGCAAGGAUGACAGCGAAUUUGUGAAGCAUUUCAUGUAUAU
ensembl:snRNA U6 U6 spliceosomal RNA